AUGUGACAGCGUCCUCAGAUCAAAACAGACGAGGAUGACAAAGCAGCUUCUUCUCUGCCAGUGUUUCCUCUACACAUGAAGGUGGAAAGUGUCUGAAAGUUUGCCCGAAGUGAGUUCAGCAGAAACCCAACAAUUCCCACCAUGAGCAAGCACUUGGCCAGGCAAGGAGAAACCUGCAUUUAACAGCUGAAGCUCAGAGUCUCUGUGACCGGAUGUGGAUCAGCUGAACAUCCUCAGUGUUGUUGCGGUGACAGAGUGCAGCUCUGCAGCAGCUGUGGGCUCUGCUAUGGAUCAGAGUGAAGACAGAGAGGAGGGAGUCCCUCAGAGGUAAGAUGAAGAUCUCUGACUGUCCAUGACGCUUCUCCAUGACAGAGUUCAGCAAUCAAAUCACAUCAUUAUUCACAGUCUCACUGCCACUCAGCUACUGAAAAACAGAUUCCAACAAUUAACAACUAACUUUCUUAAUUUACACAAUCCAGCGUCUGAUUAGUCAGCUAAUGACCUAAAACGGGAUGGCAUCUUUCACUCUUCCACUUCUUAGUGAUUUUCUAUUUACUUCUAAAAAGGUAGAAGGUAGAUGUCACCAUCCUCUUUGGAAAAGAUAAGUGAACCAGUACACUGUCCG